rnacentral:piRNA from 1 species
AAACCCGAAAAACCGUGUGUUCACUAC